CCUUAUCCAAAGUAGCUAGCAAGAGGCCUAAGUUAUCAGCCUUCUUCUGUCUCUGCUCCCCACAAAUACUAGACUGAACCACACAGCAGCAAUAGCAAGAGGUUCACCACUCAGAAAUGGCUGAGGAGGCCACUGUAACUCUCUAGAGCCUGGGCAGUAAAAUCACAGGACAACUUCAGCCACCAAUUUGCUGCCAAGAUGCCAACCUGUCUUCUUCACUGGAAAGAGGAUCUCACCAAUGUGUCCUGGAGCCCCACCUCUCCAGAACCCUGCCCUACUAAGGAAAGACAGAAACAGGCCGGGAGUAUGGAUCAACCUGGCAAUGCCCAUGUCCAGCAGAGAAGCCAGACCUUCCACCUUCUGCACCCCUUAAUGAUCCUGGGUCCAUGCUCCCAGAGGAUAAAGAACAGGAACACUUCCAAUAUAAGAGAUGGGAUAUGGAACUCUAGUGGUGGGAAUUGUGUGGAACUGUACUCCUUUUAUCCUGUCUUGUUGAUCAUUAUUAAAUCAAUACAUAAAAUUUUUUUAAAAAAGCAUAGGGGCCAGGUGGUGGCACAUCUGGUUGAGCGUACAUUAUAGUACGCAAGGACCCAGGUUUGAGUCCCCAGUCUCCACCUGCAGGGGGAAAGCUUCACAAGUGGUGAAGCAGUGUUGCAGGUGUCUCUUUGUCUCUCUACCUCUCUAUCACCUCCUUCCCUCGCAAUUUCUGGCUGUGUAAAUAAUAAAUAAAAUGUAUUAUUUAUCCAAUAAAUAAAUAAAUAAUUUUUUUAAAAAGUUUUCAGGUCAGGGGUAGACAGCAUAAUGGUUAUGCAGAGACUCUCAUUCCUGAGGCUCCAAAGUCCCAGGUUCAAUCCCCUACACCACCAUAAACCAGAGCUGAGCAGUGCUCUA